UACAGAGGUCCCAAGCGUUGUUCGGAUUCAUUGGGCGUAAAGGGUGCGUAGGUGGCGCCGUAAGUCAGGUGUGAAAUUUCGGAGCUUAACUCCGAAACUGCAUUUGAUACUGCGGUGCUUGAGGACUGGAGAGGAGACUGGAAUUUACGGUGUAGCAGUGAAAUGCGUAGAGAUCGUAAGGAAGACCAGUGGCGAAGGCGGGAUCUCUGGACAGUUCUGACACUGAGGCACGAAGGCCAGGGGAGCAAACGGG
rnacentral:rRNA from 1 species